rnacentral:rRNA from 1 species
GACGAACGCUGGCGGCGUGCUUAACACAUGCAAGUCGAACGGAAAGGCCUGCUUUCCCUUGUGGAUUGCGGGUACUCGAGUGGCGAACGGGUGAGUAACACGUGAGUGAUCUGCCCCCAACUUGGGUAUAAGCCUGGGAAACUGGGUCUAAUUCCCGAUAGGACUGCAGGGUGGUGCCUGUGGUGGAACACGAUUUUCUAGUGGUUGGGGAUGAGCUCGCGGCCUAUCAGCUUGUUGGUGGGGUAAUGGCCUACCAAGGCGGCGACGGGUAGCCGGCCUGAGAGGGUGGACGGUCACAUUGGGACUGAGAUACGGCCCAGACUCCUACGGGAGGCAGCAGUGGGGAAUAUUGCACAGUGGGCGGAAGCCUGAUGCAGCGACGCCGCGUGGGGGAUGACGGCCUUCGGGUUGUAAACUCCUUUCGACCGAGAGGAAGCCACCUGGUUGGAAGGGUGGUGACGGUAGUGGUAGAAGAAGCACCGGCUAACUACGUG